CAAUGGCUUAAGAUUCAGUGACAGGCUUCAGGGUCGAAGUCCAGAGGUCAUGCAGGUUUAGGUGCGGGUGUAUUUGCCCCAGAUGUGCAGCAUGAAUA